rnacentral:lncRNA from 1 species
AAAUUUUGGUGUGAUAAUUGACCUGCAAAAUUGAACUCAAAUUUUCAUUAGUAGCCUAUUGUUUGUUAAAAAUCGUAAGCUAUUACAAAAAUUGUAACUUGAUUUUUGGAUAUAGGAACAUACAUUUGGUUGGCAUGUUGUAAGACUUCCUGAUGAAACAUCCCAAAAUACGACCCAAAAGUUUUUGUUUAAUCAUUACUGAAAUCAUUGUAUCAAUACCAUAAAAUAAAAUCCAUACGCCAAUAUCUCAAAACCAUAACAAGUUUCACAAGAACUGUAUCAAGACUGAAUCAAAUCAUAUCAAUGAAAAGCUAAAUUAACUCCCAGGACAAAUUGAAGCUGUGGUGUGUGCGAUGUCAUCAUCCCGAGCUCUUCCCUUUACUU